AUACGGAGGGUGCAAGCGUUAAUCGGAAUUACUGGGCGUAAAGCGCGCGUAGGCGGCUGAUUAAGUCGGAUGUGAAAUCCCUGGGCUCAACCUAGGAACUGCAUCCGAUACUGGUCAGCUAGAGUUUUGGAGAGGUAAGUGGAAUUUCCGGUGUAGCGGUGAAAUGCAUAGAGAUCGGAAGGAACACCAGUGGCGAAGGCGACUUACUGGCCAAAAACUGACGCUGAGGUGCGAAAGCGUGGGUAGCAAACAGGAUUAGAAACCCUAGUAGUCC
rnacentral:rRNA from 1 species